CCUCACUUGUGGGGGGAUUAGUGGCGAACGGGUGAGUAACACGUGAGUAACCUGCCCUUAACUCUGGGAUAAGCCUGGGAAACUGGGUCUAAUACCGGAUAUGACUCCUCAUCGCAUGGUGGGGGGUGGAAAGCUUUUUGUGGUUUUGGAUGGACUCGCGGCCUAUCAGCUUGUUGGUGAGGUAAUGGCUCACCAAGGCGACGACGGGUAGCCGGCCUGAGAGGGUGACCGGCCACACUGGGACUGAGACACGGCCCAGACUCCUACGGGAGGCAGCAGUGGGGAAUAUUGCACAAUGGGCGAAAGCCUGAUGCAGCGACGCCGCGUGAGGGAUGACGGCCUUCGGGUUGUAAACCUCUUUCAGUAGGGAAGAAGCGAAAGUGACGGUACCUGCAGAAGAAGCGCCGGCUAACUACGUGCCAGCAGCCGCGGUAAUACGUAGGGCGCAAGCGUUAUCCGGAAUUAUUGGGCGUAAAGAGCUCGUAGGCGGUUUGUCGCGUCUGCCGUGAAAGUCCGGGGCUCAACUCCGGAUCUGCGG
rnacentral:rRNA from 1 species